AGUCGCAUACCUGAACAUCCAGUAGAAAAUAAAGGUGGCAGUUACGCCAAGACCUCCAGAGAUGAAGAACCCUGCAAGAAUCAGAAAGAAGGUUACAGCAGCUGGGACUAGCACAGGACUGAAAAUCACCAAAAGGGGCGUUGCCAAAACUAGGCCUAUCACUGCUCCAGCCAUUGUCAGCCCCGAUAGAACCAUGAGUGAACCCCCCACGGUGACUGCUGUGGUGGUUUUAAUCACCUGACUAGUUGAGUGCUGUGUCUGCGGCUGGUCAGGGCGGGUUGCCAUUUUUUUCCCAAUUUUUUGUUGGGAUUUUCAGUACAAUGGAUGGAAAUGGAGUUGGGAUGUGAAUUUGAGAAGGGAAAGUGGAGAGAAGGAGCUGGUGGUGUGGAAAAGGAUGUGUAUGUCAUAAAAUAAUACUAAUAACCAAAGCUGGCUGUCGUGGUGGUGUCACGUGAGGGGAGGGUCGAGUGUGACGUGUACGGUGCAUGCAAUGGAUGGUUUGGGUGGCUGACACGUAUGUUUUCCAGGCGGAUAAUCUAGUAAGGGAAACCAACCGCAGGGACGUGGAUGGAAGAUUGUCGUCUCCUGGGCGAUAAUAUUAGGGAUGUAGACCUGCUUCACGGUUUUAGGCUGUUACUAUUUGUUUUUUGAUUUAUAGAUCCUUAGAUGCAAUGAUGCAUAUAUCCUUUAAUACUCUACUAGCAAAAAGUGAACGAAGGAGAUGUGCUUAAUUGAUGUCAGCUCCUCAAUGGGAAGUUCAAAACUGAAAAUAUAUACUUGCUGUAUCUAUAUCGUGUAAGCAAAAUGAAUUUGGCCCUUUUUUGAGAGGUUUGUAAGGAUCAUAAAUAUCUACCUUAGGUUUUAGAAAUCAUUCUACUAGAGCCCAUAUCGUGUAAUGUUGCAAUUUUUUUUUUUUUUUGAAGUAAUAGAUGAUUUUAUUGAUAAACUAGAUUUUAUAGUAUUUGAGCAACGGCCCAUAUCGUGUAAUGUUGUAGUAUUUGCUUGCCUUGAAUAGGAAAAAUGAUCAAAUUCAUUCCUGAACUUUUUUUCUAGAGUCCAUUGAGUCUUUAACUUUCAUUUCUGAUCAAUUUAUUUCUUAAAUUUAAUUUUUAAAUCCAAUUAAGUUCCUUUGCGUCAGUGCCACCACUUAAAAGGAAUCGGAUUUCUAAUUUAAUAGUUAAAUAAGGAUAUUUUAGGAACUUUAGGUAUAAACUGUAAUCAAACUAAGUAAAUUAAAAAAAAUCAAUAAUAUUUGAGGUAUUUUUAAAAAUUUAAAACUUUUUUAAGAUUUUAAAAAUUUUUAAUUAACUUCUUAACCCUUCCCCUACCUAACCUCACGUUGCCAUAGCCACCACUGCCUCCCCUCCCCUCCCGUACCUCACAUCAUCCAUUUCAACAGUUGAUAAGGCAUUCGACAAAUUCAAAGUGCAUUCCAACAAACGAUAAAUAGCCUCUUUCUACUAGCUACCAAUCCCACCGGAUUUUACAGCAACACAAGCAAUUUGCUUUGAAAUGCGUUUGAUAAAUUCAAAACAUCUUGGCAAACCGGUAGAAAAACUAAGGUGGCGUUUGGUUCGCGUGUUGGAAUCGGAUUCGGAUUCGAAAUCAUUCAUCCUGGAUUUGGAAUGGAAUAAAUCAUUCCAAUAAAUUUGUUCGGUUCAGUGCCAGGAAUGUAUAUCAUUACUAUAAUUGAUGUUUGGUUCGUUGCCUCUUUAUAAAUGGGAUAUAAGAAAUUUUUAUUAAUUAAAUAUAUUAGUAUAAAUGUAUUAGUUAAUUUAGUAUAACUAAUUAAUAAUUUCUAUUAGUAAACAUGUAUAAUUAUUAGUUAAUUGAUAAUAUUAUUUAUAUUACAUAGAUUAAUAUACAUUAUAUUAUACAUAUAACUAAUAAUAUCAUUAUUAUAAGUUUGUAACUAAUUAAAUUAAAUAUUAUAUAUAAUUAAAUAUAAUUAUACAAAUGUUAUAAUAUAAAUAUAUAAUUAUAAUCAUAUAACAUAUAUAAAUAUUAAUUAUACUAAUAUUUUACAUAAAUAUAAUGUAUAUUAUAUAUUAAAUAUAAUUAUUAUUAUCUAUUAUUAUAUUUAAAAUAAUAAAGAUAAAUAUAAUUAUAUAAUUUAUUAAUAUUAUAUACAUGUACAUAUUAUAAUUAUAUGCACAUAUAAUAUACAUUUAUAAAUAUAAAUAUAUAUUAUAAAUAUAUUAUUAUACAAUAUUAAUAAAUGUAUAAUAUAUAAUAUAUAAAUAUAAUUAUAUUUAACUAAAUAAUUAUAAUAUUUAUUUAUAUAAUAUACUAAUAUUAUAAUAAAAUAUAUAAUUAUAAUAUAUUAUAUAUGUAUAUAUUAUCAUAUAAUUAUAUAAUUAUGUAAUAAAUAUAAAUAUUAAUUAUACUAAUAUUAUAUAUUAUAAAGUAUAUUAUAUGUUAAAUAUAAUUUUUAUUAUACAUUAUUAUAUUUAUAAUAAUAAAAAAAUAUAAUUAUAUAAUAUAUUAUUAUAUAUACACGUAUAUAUUAUAGUUAUAUGCACAUAUAAUAUACAUUUAUAAAUAUAUAUAAAUAAUAUAAAUAUAUUAGUAUAUAAUAUUAAUAAAUUUAUAUUAUAUAUUUAUAUUAUAUAUUAUAUAUGUCUAUAUAAUAAUUAUAAAUAUAUUAUAUAAUUAUACUAAUAUUAUAAUAAAACAUUAUAAUUAUAAUAGAUAUUAUAUACAUAAUUAUAUAUAUGUAUGUAAUUAUAUAUUAAUUUUUUAAUGGGUGGCGGGACGGGUCCCAUUUGUAAAUGGGAAUCAGACUUGGGUUUUGUCCAAAACCCUUCAAGUUACUAGGAAAUUGAGGAAUUUUAAAUUUUAGGUAUGAUUUCAAAAUCCCGAUUUCGAUAGUAGUAAUCCAAACAACAAUUAUGGGGUUUAUUUCAAUUUUCCAUUUCGAAACCCUGUUACGAAACGCCACCUAAGACUAUUUUUAGAAAUUGUGAAACUAUUAGUGUGAAAGCAGAGGGUGAACAUUAGCCAAAGGCCGGAGUGAUGAUUAUGACAAUGCAGCAAUUGUGGCUAACAAAUGCUCCAGCAACGAUUGCGCAAAUGGCUGGGACUUGUUUUCUCCAUCAGCCAUAAUGGUAGCAAAUGUGAUAAAAUUUGCAUAUUUAUGCUAUUUUUUCUUGAGCCAGAAAGCAUUUGUAGAUUUCCUCUUCAACUUUCUCAAUUAUAAUAUAAACUCAAAGGUGGGGGAAAGAGGGUGGGGAGAGGUGGAAGGAGGUUUGUGGUGGAGAGAGGUGGGUGCUAAUGGAGGUUAGUAAUGGAGGUGGUUAGUAACGGAGGUUGGUACUCUUAUUUAAUUGUUAAAUUAAAAGUCAAAUUGCUUUUAGGCGGUGGCAAUUGCCGUAGAAGGUUUUAAUUGGAUUCGAAAAUUAAAUUUAUGUAUUAAAUUGGGCAAAAAUAAAAAUUAAGAAUUAAAUCGAUCCUCAAAAAAAAUUUAGGAACGAAAUUGUUCAUUUUUCCGUCUUGAAUUUCAUGGCAAGAUUUGUGUGGAAUUACUCUUGGAUACUGUAUGUAGGGAAUCGGUCACUGUAUUCAAAACAAGAUGAUAUGUAAUUUUCAUUCAAAAUGUCUGUGUAAGUUUUACUAUUUGUAAACAUUUAAUUCCUCAGUCUUGAUUCAAUUCCUCUUUUUCUCAUUUCAACUUCUUAAAUCUCAUCUCCCUCUCUUACUUAAUAAUAUGAAUAAAAUUGAUAAAAAAAAAAAAAAAAGAUGAUAUAGGUCUCCACUAGGCCCAUUACGUAUGGGGCAGAAGUUAUCCACAUGAAUACCUCGCAUUUGAAGGUUAUCACUUAUCAGAGGAAGGUAAUGAAUUCUCCUUGGCAGGUGCUUUGUUUUGCUUGGAAUAUUAUAGGUCUCGGUUCCCGGAGCCUUUUCCGAAUCUUGUCGAUACCUAAGCUGUUGCUUUGUUUCUCCCACUGCCCUGCCAGUAUGACGUUUGAAUCCAUUAUCACGUGAAACACGUUUUUAAGUAGAAAACUUGUCAUUUGCAGAGUAAUGCCAGGUCCAGCUGUCUUUCAAUCAAUUAAGUCUGUGUCAUGCUGCCAAUUGUAGCAUCAAUCAUAGUCUAAUUCCAACAAUGACAUUUAUGUUUGAUAAGUUCUAAAACUCGAGCAUUCCUAUCAAGCAGCGUUGGGGGAGAAUUGUUCUCCCGCAGUAGAAAAGAUGUUUGUUUAUGCAGCUAUUUAUGUUGUGAGUUAGAAUUGUCAAUGUACAAUAUAUUUUGCCUUCUUUGUCAUAAAUACCUGACCCGAUACAGAUGCCUUACUCGAGCUUUGAGUAGCUUGAUUCUUUUCCCCAGAGUUGUCGAAUGAGAGCAGGGUCUUUUAAGUUUUUAUGGUUUAUUCUGGGCAAUCUAAGCUAAAUGGUAAUAUACAUUUUUAAACAUGUUCUGAAAAAUAAUUGUAUAAAUCAAAGACAGAACGAAAGAAUCAAACUCAAAUUUUAGAUGAUACGGAGAAGAUUUCUCAAUUGCUCUCUUGGAUAGCUGUUGGGUUGUAAUGAGGAUUGGGUAGUACAAAGGAGCAAGAUUAUUAGAAGUUCAACUACUUGCCAACAGAAUAGUGAUGCUGUACUAUAUAAUAUCCAUUGAAGCUUGAACUGGUGUUGAGCAUUGACUGGUCCAUGUUCUACUUUUUCCUCUUUUAGAUGAACUUCUUUGAUGUUAUGUGCAAUUUUGUCACUUUUCAGUUACCCUGUUAAGUAUCUUCUUGGUGUGUUGUUGACAUGGGGAGUUUAGGAUACGAUAGAAAGGAGCUAUCAGCCUAUCCAAUGCUUAGUCAACUGGAUUUUAUGUUAAUUUCUACCUGCUCAUGUCCACACGACUCGAAAGUUGUCUGCUUCCUAGUUUCUGUCUGCCUGCUCGUGCCCACAUGAUUCGAAAGUAGUCUGUUUCCCUAGUUUCAGUUACGAAACGACUGUUUUUAUGCUUCAGUCAAAGCUGGACGUUCAACUUCUCUUUCUGAGUUAAUCACAUCACAGUUAAAGCUGGACUUUCAACUUCUCUUUCUGAGUUAAUCACAUCGAUUGUCACUGCAGGAUGCAGCUAAGGUUAUUCGGAAGAUGAUUGAGAAAAACCCAGAUUCACUCAACUUCAAUGUGAUGGCCAUUUCUAAAAGGGUUUGAGGAGAAUAGACGAUGCAACAUGAACAUCCAUUGCUGCCAUUGAGAAGUUGACCCACCUGGCUCUACAAGUUUCUUGGCCUAAACCUUGAGGACUGUUAUUUUGCGCUCGUUAUUACAUGUAAUGAUAGAAUCAGUUUUACUAGAAUUAUUAAGCCCUGGAAGAAGCAUGUAAUAACAGAAUCAGUUCUACUAGAAGUAUUAUGCUCUGGAAGAAGUCAGCUGUAACUCACAAAACUAGCAAGUUAUAUGUUUGCCUGAUAAGUAAAUGAUGACUAGUUACUGCCAAAUUUUCUUCAGUACUCUCAACUCGAUGCUGCAGCAAUUUGUAGGGCAAAUUUGCUUCAUUUUCACCUAGGAGAGAGAUCGACAAUAGCCAGUUUGGCAAUAGUGACAGAGAUUCAUUGGAAGGGCCUCACCUUUACAAUUGCCAUUGGCAAUUCUCGACCGCAGUUCGCCUGGGAAGGAGUCGAAAAUAUCCAAUGGCAGUAGUGGCAGAAAUUCAUGGGAACGGGGGUGUUAAUAACAGCGAGUAGCAAUAGCGGCAAUGAGUUGAUUGUUGCAAAACCUCCUACUCUUACUUACAACCUCCCUCAUUUCUACAGCCCACAAGCAAGUCAAAUGUCGCCACAAUUAAUACACAAGAUUCUAGUCUAACACUUCCGUAACAUAAUGGAUCUCAAAAGUUGUAGCUUAGCGGAAUUUUUGUAUAAAAAAUGGUGGUACUCUCUUUCAAUCAAAGAUAUUCGAUCCUAGCUUACAAACUGAUAAUCCAAGAUCAACAAAGUUAAAAUGAAAAAAAAAACCCCACAAAAUAAUCAUAGAAAAAAUAACCAAAAAAAAAAGAAAAAGAAAAAGCAUGGAGUAAGAAGCCUAAAAGAAACACAAAUGUUUUAGCACACAUGAAACGACACAUCCAACUACAAACUCACAGAGCAAGCUGAGCUGAGAGAAACAGCAACCCAUCCCCACUCUCUACAACAGUCACAACAACAAUUAAUUCGCCGAUUAACUAGGAAACAUAAAAAGUCACAAUCCCCCAUAAUUAGAGCACAAAGUUUAUUCAUGCAUCAUCAUACAUCAAUUGCUUGCACAAUAUUCCAUCAAGUAUCUCAAGCUCGGAAACCUUUAAUCUGCUGCAGAGCCUGCUGCCCAAAAUUUUCAGCUUUGUCCUUCAUCUCCUUAGCUGCCUGCUGCCCAAAAUUUUCAGCUUUGUCCUUCAUCUCCUCUAAAUGUUCAGCUUUGUCCUUCAUCUCGUUAGCUACCUGCUGCCCAAAUUGUUCAGCUUUGUCCUUCAUCUCCUUAGCUUCCUGGCGCCCAAAAUCUUCAGCCUUGUCCUUCAUCUCCUUAGCUGCAUCAGCAAUCUUUUCUUUCGCACGAUUCAGCUGAUCUGCACCAAUGGGGUUUUUCCCGGUCGCAUACCUGAACAUCCAAUAGAAAAUAAAGCUGGCACGAGCAAUCUUUUCUCUCACACGAUCCAGCUGAUCUGCACCGAUGGGGUGCUUCCCAGUUGCAUACCUGAACAUCCAAUAGAAAAUAAAGCUAGCAGUUACGCCAAGACCUCCACAUACAAAGAACCCUGCAAGAAUCAGAAAGAUGGUUACAGCAGCUGGGACUAGCACAGGACUGAAAAUCACCAAAAGGGGCGUUGCCAAAACUAGUCCUAUCAGCCCCGACAGAAACAUAAGUGAACCCCCCACGGCGACUGCUGUGGUGGUUUU
rnacentral:lncRNA from 1 species